rnacentral:rRNA from 1 species
GAUGGGCUCGCGUCCGAUUAGCCAGUUGGUGAGGUAACGGCCCACCAAAGCAACGAUCGGUAGCCGGACUGAGAGGUUGAACGGCCACAUUGGGACUGAGACACGGUCCAGACUCCUACGGGAGGCAGCAGUGAGGAAUAUUGGUCAAUGGACGCAAGUCUGAACCAGCCAAGUAGCGUGAAGGAUGACUGCCCUAUGGGUUGUAAACUUCUUUUGCCGUAGAACAAAACAUGCCACGUGUGGCAUUUUGCGUGUAUACGUUGAAUAAGCAUCGGCUAACUCCGUGCCAGCAGCCGCGGUAAUACGGAGGAUGCGAGCGUUAUCCGGAUUUAUUGGGUUUAAAGGGAGCGUAGGUGGUUUGAUAAGCCAGCUGUGAAAUACUGCCGCUCAACGGCAGCCGUGCAGUUGGAACUGUCAGACUUGAGUGUACGGGAGGAGAGUGGAAUUCGUGGUGUAGCGGUGAAAUGUUUAGAUAUCACGAAGAACUCCGAUUGCGUAGGCAGCUUUCUACAGUACAACUGACACUGAUGCUCGAAAGUSCGGGUAUCGAACAGGAUUAGAUACCCUGGUAGUCCGCAC